UACGUAGGGUGCGAGCGUUAAUCGGAAUUACUGGGCGUAAAGCGUGCGCAGGCGGUUUUUUAAGACAGGCGUGAAAUCCCCGGGCUUAACCUGGGAACUGCGCUUGUGACUGGAAGGCUAGAGUACGGCAGAGGGGGGUGGAAUUCCACGUGUAGCAGUGAAAUGCGUAGAGAUGUGGAGGAACACCGGUGGCGAAGGCAGCCCCCUGGGCCGAUACUGACGCUCAUGCACGAAAGCGUGGGGAGCAAACAGG
rnacentral:rRNA from 1 species